rnacentral:rRNA from 1 species
UACGAACGCUGGCGGCGUGCUUAACACAUGCAAGUCGAACGGUGAAGCUCCAGCUUGCUGGAGUGGAUCAGUGGCGAACGGGUGAGUAACACGUGAGCAACCUGCCCCUGACUCUGGAAUAAGCGCUGGAAACGGCGUCUAAUACUGGAUACGAGAAGGGUCCGCAUGGGCACUUUCUGGAAAGUUUUUCGGUUGGGGAUGGGCUCGCGGCCUAUCAGCUUGUUGGUGAGGUAAUGGCUCACCAAGGCGACGACGGGUAGCCGGCCUGAGAGGGCGACCGGCCACACUGGGACUGAGACACGGCCCAGACUCCUACGGGAGGCAGCAGUGGGGAAUAUUGCACAAUGGGCGAAAGCCUGAUGCAGCGACGCCGCGUGAGGGAUGACGGCCUUCGGGUUGUAAACCUCUUUCAGCAGGGAAGAAGCGAAAGUGACGGUACCUGCAGAAGAAGCACCGGCUAACUACGUG